CCUACGGGGGACAGCAGUCGAGAAUCAUUCACAAUGGGGGAAACCCUGAUGGUGCGACGCCGCGUGGGGGAAUGAAGGUCUUCGGAUUGUAAACCCCUGUCAUGUGGGAGCAAAUUAAAAAGAUAGUACCACAAGAGGAAGAGACGGCUAACUCUGUGCCAGCAGCCGCGGUAAUACAGAGGGCUCAAGCGUUGUUCGGAAUCACUGGGCGUAAGGCGUGCGUAGGCUGUUUCGUAAGUCGUGUGUGAAAGGCGCGGGCUCAACCCGCGGACGGCACAUGAUACUGCGAGACUAGAGUAAUGGAGGGGGAACCGGAAUUCUCGGUGUAGCAGUGAAAUGCGUAGAUAGCGAGAGGAACACUCGUGGCGAAGGCGGGUUCCUGGACAUUAACUGACGCUGAGGCACGAAGGCCAGGGGAGCGAAAGGGAUUAGAUACCCCAGUAGUC
rnacentral:rRNA from 1 species